rnacentral:rRNA from 1 species
UACGUAGGGGGCUAGCGUUGUCCGGAAUCAUUGGGCGUAAAGGGCUCGUAGGUGGUUUGUCGCGUUGUUCGUGAAAACUCACAGCUUAACUGUGGGCGUGCGGGCGAUACGGGCAGACUGGAGUACUGCAGGGGAGACUGGAAUUCCUGGUGUAGCGGUGGAAUGCGCAGAUAUCAGGAGGAACACCGGUGGCGAAGGCGGGUCUCUGGGCAGUAACUGACGCUGAGGAGCGAAAGCGUGGGGAGCGAACAGG